rnacentral:lncRNA from 1 species
CCAAGCAUCUAAAAGUACUACUGAUUACAAAACCUGCACUGAAAUAUUUGAUUUGAAAAUGCAUUCUAACUACACAUUUUCAGAAUAAAGAGGAUCUUCUGCAUAAUUAUCUUUUGAUAUAGCUAACUAUUAUGUAAAAGUAAGCAGCACAGUGAAAGAAUUCACUAAAAGCCCUUUAUGACUAAAUAUGUCCUCUGGUCAUAGAAUAUCUUGUAUAUUAGAUUAAUCAAGUUCAGUUUUAUUUAUUUUUUUCUUUUUUUUCCUUCUUUUUCAUUGUGGUCAAGAAGCCAGUAAGAAGAGUCAAAAGCACGGUAUGUCUUUGAAAUUCAGUGUUCAUCCAGCAACAGAAAGUUCUUUUUUGAAAUUCAAACACAAUCUACAAGCAACAAUUAUAGAAAAAUUCAGUGUCUCAUGCUGUGUAAGAUAA